UACGUAGGUGGCAAGCGUUGUCCGGAAUUAUUGGGCGUAAAGCGCGCGCAGGCGGUCCUUUAAGUCUGAUGUGAAAGCCCACGGCUCAACCGUGGAGGGUCAUUGGAAACUGGGGGACUUGAGUACAGAAGAGAAGAGUGGAAUUCCACGUGUAGCGGUGAAAUGCGUAGAGAUGUGGAGGAACACCAGUGGCGAAGGCGGCUCACUGGACCGGAACUGACGCUGAGGCGCGAAAGCGUGGGGAGCAAACAGG
rnacentral:rRNA from 1 species